rnacentral:ncRNA from 1 species
GGGAGUAUGGUCGCAAGGCUGAAACUUAAAGGAAUUGACGGAAGGGCACCACCAGGAGUGGAGCCUGCGGCUUAAUUUGACUCAACACGGGGAAACUUACCAGGUCCAGACAUAGUAAGGAUUGACAGACUGAGAGCUCUUUCGAUGAAUGGAGAUGUAAAUAGAAGCAAGAAAGGUGUACAUGUGUACGCGGGCAUACCCCGGAGAUGGUGCCCACUCGACCCUCAUCGAUUGGGUGAAGUGGGCUAUAAAAACACUAUUGUAGUCACUGCUAGGGAGGAUUCUCCUCCCAAGCCUAAGACUACUAAAUAUAUUACAUAUUAACAAACCAAAAAUAAAACAUCAAAAACAUUGAAGCACAACUACAGUGUCACGAAAGCACACGCUGCUUCCCGGUCAACGCGGUCAAAGGUCCACGUCAUCCAGUCAACAGCCUUGUCA